rnacentral:rRNA from 1 species
GAUGAACGCUAGCGGCAGGCUUAAUACAUGCAAGUCGUGGGGCAGCAGGUUUGUAGCAAUACAGAUGCUGGCGACCGGCAAACGGGUGCGGAACACGUACAGAACCUUCCUUUGAGCGGGGAAUAGCCCAGAGAAAUUUGGAUUAAUACCCCAUAGUAUAAUGAAGUGGCAUCACUUUAUUAUUAAAGAUUUAUCACUCGAAGAUGGCUGUGCGGCUGAUUAGGUAGUUGGCGGGGUAAAGGCCCACCAAGCCUGCGAUCAGUAACUGGUGUGAGAGCACGACCAGUCACACGGGCACUGAGACACGGGCCCGACUCCUACGGGAGGCAGCAGUAGGAUAUUGGUCAAUGGAGGCAACGUCUGAACCAGCCAUGCCGCGUGGAGGAUGAAGGUCCUCUGGAUUGUAAACUUCUUUUAUAUGGGACGAAAAAGGCUUUUCUAAGUCGUCUGACGGUACCAUAUGAAUAAGCACCGGCUAACUCCGUGCCA